GGCAGCGGUAGCUUAGUGGUAAAGACAUUGGACUUCUGAUCGGAGGGUCGUGAGGUCAAACCCCAGCACUGCCA